rnacentral:rRNA from 1 species
UACGGAGGGAGCUAGCGUUGUUCGGAAUUACUGGGCGUAAAGCGUGCGCAGGCGGUUUGCUAAGACAGGUGUGAAAUCCCCGGGCUUAACCUGGGAACUGCGCUUGUAACUGUCGGGCUAGAGUGCGGAAGAGGCGAGUGGAAUUCCUGGUGUAGCGGUGAAAUGCGCAGAUAUCAGGAGGAACACCAAUUGCGAAGGCAGCUCGCUGGGACGUUACUGACGCUGAGACGCGAAAGCGUGGGGAGCAAACAGG